UUUUUUUCCCGUGAAUUGGGUCCGUUGUCGUAACUUGUUUCCUUUGGCAGGCCAAAUCGGCAGAUAAUGUUCUUCCAUAUGGAGGUGAAUAUCUCUUGCUCACGAAUUUGGGCGAAUGCGUCUGCUUCCACCCAUUUAUAGAAGUAGUCAGUUAAAACUAAAAGGAAUUUGACAUUACCUCGUCCUGGCAAAAGCGAUCCCACGAUGUCCAUUCCCUACUUAAUGAACGACCAUGGAGAGGUAACUGAAUGGAGGUUUUUGCCUGCUUGAUGGAUUAUUGGGGUGAACUUCUAGCACUGUUCGCAUUUCUUUAUGAAUUUCAGGGCGUCUUUCUUCAUAGUAGGCCAAUAGUAUCCCGCCCAUAUGAGGCACCUAACCAGUUCUCGGUCACCGGAGUGACCGCCGUAGUGGCCUUCGUGGACUUUCUCGAGGACGCGCUGAGUUUGAUUUGGGCCCAAGAAGUUUGCUGAGUGGCCGCUGUACGUUCUCUUAUACAACUCAUCGUGAAGGAUGAUGUAUCUUUCCGCUUGCAUUCUCUACUUCCUGGCUUCCUUUUUAUCAUUUGGGGUAGUUGGUGGGUACCAUCCUGCAUGUAGUUUAUAAUACAAUUUGCUAGUCCCAUGUUAGGUUUACACAUUUUACCUUGACGUGGUCUAGUACUGAGCUAAGGAGAUACACCACGCUCAUGUCCCCAGGAGCUAUGCUUUUUGUUGCGGCGAAUAAUUUUGCAAGGCCGCCUGCCUCGACAUUCUGAGUUUAUGGAAUCUGGUAGAGUUGGCAUUCAUCAAAUUUGGGCAACAUUUUGCAUAUCUCGGUCUAGUAUUUUUGCAACCUUUGUUCUUUGAUCUGGAAAGUCCCAGUUACUUGGUUGACGACGAGCAGAGAGGCGCAACCGUAAGUGGCUCACCCCAUAUUUGAGUGCUAGCCUUAGUCCUACAAUUACAUCCUCAUACUCGGCCUCGUUGUUAGUCAUAUCUGGGAAUCUUAUAGAUUAGCGAAUGACUUUGCCAGUGGGGACUUCGAGCACGAGUCCUAGUACGAACCCGCACGUGUUGGACGCGCUGUCAGAGUGCAAGACCCAGAGGUCCCUUUGUCAGGUGAGAAGCUUGAGUGGCUUCCUUCUCAUCCUCAGGCAUCACCUUGGCACUGAAGUAUGCAACAAAGUCGGCGAGCACUUGUGAUUUUAUCGAUGUACAAGGCUGGUAAGUGAUGUCAUGCUCACUCAACUCGAUGGCCCAUUUGGCCAGCCUCUCUGACAACUCGGGUUUGUGUAGUAUGCUCCUUAAUGGGAAUUUGGUGACCACCGAGAUUGGAUGGCACUGGAAGUAUGGCUUGAGCUUUCUUGAAGCUACGACCAGGGCCAGGGCCAGUUUCUCGAGGUGAGGAUACCUUGACUCGGCAUUGAUAAGUGUUUCACUAAUAAAAUAAAUUAGAGAUUACUUACCUUUGUCUUCUCGGACUAGGACUGCACUUACUACUACUUCCUAGACAACGAGGUAGACGAGGAGACAUUCCUCGGGCUCGGGUUUUGAAAGCAAGGGUGGCAAUGACAGGUAUUCCUUAUGUUCAUUCAGCGCUCGUAUACACUCAGGCAUCUAUUCGAGGCCGUUGUCCUUUUUGAGUACGUUGAAGAACCUGUGGCACUUGUCAGAUGACUUCAAGAUGAAUUUGGACAGGGCAGCAAUUCGACCCGUCAGUUUUUGGACUUGUUUCUUGGUGGUUAAGUGUUUUGAUAUUCCUUUGAUAAUGUUGAUCUAAUAUGGUUGACUUUAAUUCCGCACUGUGAUACUAGAAAAUCCAAAAAAUGCCCGAAGUUAUACCAAAUGCGCAAUUCUUGGGGUUCAGUUUCAUCCCGUAUUUUCAUAAUAUUUCGAAUGCUUCCUUCAGAUGGUUGACGUAAUCCUCGACCCUCAAAGAUUUAACCAACAUGUUGUCGAUGUAUACUUCCAUGGUUUUGCUGAGCUGGUUCUUGAACAUCUUCGUGACCAGCCUUUGGUAGGUAGCUCCCACGCUAUUCAACCCGCAUGGCAUGACCCUAUAGCAGUUGCGUUCACCUGUGAGUGAUGAAAGUGAUUUUCUCUUGGUUAUCUUCUUCCAUGAGUAUCUGAUUGUAGCCUGAGUAAGCGUCCGAAAAACUCAGCAACUCAUGUCCUGCUGUGGCAUCGAUGAGCUGAUCGAUGUGUGGUAGGAUUUGUUCAGAUCGGUGAAGUCCACGGACAUUCUCCAUUUCCCGUUUUUCUUUUUGACCAUUACCACUUUAGCAAUCCAUUUGGGGUAUUUUGACUCCCUAAUAGAGCCGUUGGACACAGUUUCUCCACUUCCUCGUGGACGGCUUCGUUGAUGGUGUGGCUGAACUUUUGUCGAACCUGCCUUACUGAGGGUUAGAAGGGGUCAACAUUUAACAUGUGUAUGGCUAUAUCUUUGGGGAUGCCUGACAUGUCUGCAUGGCUAAAGGCAAACAAAUCUGUGUUAGCUAUUAAGAAUUGACUAAAUUUACCUUGGUUUUUGAGUUUGCAACUAAUUUAGGCCUUUUUGAUGGGGUCUCUUUGAUCUAGCUGGAUGGGUUCGAGGUUUUCUACCGUUGAUCCUAUAGCUUCGACCGCCUUUGGGUGCAUAAUGGUGUCCUUAGCUUUGACCUGCAGGGACCUCGCUGCUGAUUGAUAUGCUUCUUUUUCUUUCUAUUUCUUUUGUUGAGUUAUCGUGAUGUCUAGGGCGAUCCGAUGGCACUCUCGGGAUGUGCGUUGCUCCCUUCGUAUGUUGAAUAUUCCCUAGAGGGUCGGGAACUUGAUUACUUGGUAUAGGCUGGAGGGGACUGCCUUCAUGGGGUGUACCCAUGGUCGACCUAUGAUGGCGUUGUAUGCCGUGCCUUGAUCCAUAAUGUGGAACAAGGUCUCUAGUGUCACCUCGGCGGCAAGGACGGGGAGUAUGAUCUCGCCCGAAGUUCGUUCAACUGAAUUGUUAAAAUCGAUUAGUGUGAUGCAGCAUGACGCUAUUUUAUCCUUAAGUCAUAUCUGUGCGAGGACUCGAGGAUGGAUGAUGCACGCUCCGCUUCCGUCGUCUUCCACCAUAAUUCUCAUAACAUCAGUAUCAAGAAUUCAUAAAGUAAUGACAAGUGCAUCAAUGUGAGGGAAGGGCAAACCGUCGGUGUCAGACUCAUCGAAGAUGAUACUCACUUCGAGAUCAUCAUACCGUUCAUGGGUGAUUGAUAUUUUGAGUUUGUGAGUGGCGGUGAACUUGAUGUCAUUGAUGGAGACGAUCGCUACCACUUAUAAUCAUGUUGAUAGUACGAGCGGGCGAGGGUGGAUUUGGUGGGCCAAGGCAUUCUCACCCCUUGCUAAAGUUUUCCUGCCUUUGUCGCUGAGUAACCCUUUGAGGUGUCCUUGUUGCAGCAGGUUCACCACUUCUAACCUUAGAGCUUGGCAGUCUUCCGUCUUGUGUCCACAGUCUUGGUGGAACUCACAGAAGGCGUCAGACUUCCUGGUUCUUGGGUCGGACCUCAUCUUUGGUGUCCACUUUCACCUUUGUUUCGAGCUUCUAAAGUGCGUAGACCACCUCUGUAGGUGGCACACAAAUAUUAUGAGCAGAUAGUAAAUAGGGCAUACCUCGAUCGUUUCUGUGGAUGUCUGAUCUUGGCCUGGAGGGGUUGUCUUCAUGGCGGAAGUUGGGUACAAGUGCCCUGAUAAAAGGUUGGUGUCGAUCUCUGUUUGUUCGCGGCACUGGAAAGUCUCUCCUUGCGUUGUCCCUGCGCUGCCUCCUAGGUUCGGAUUGCACUAAUAUGAGUCAUCGGGUUGGCCUAUUGAGGUCUUCAUUAUCUGCUCUAACCUCAACACAGUAGGCAUUGUGGAUCUCGUCCCAGGUAGCCGGUUGGUAUUUCAUCAAACAUCGUAGUAGCUGCGUUUGAUCCUUCUCUGCUCAACCCAUUUUGGAAGCCUGCCAUGGCCAUUCCUUCGGAGACAUUUGGCAAGGUCAUCCUCACCCUGUUGAAUCGGGCGAAGAAGUCCAUCAGUCCUUCCCCUGGGGAUUGUCUGAUGGCGAAUAUAUCGUUCACCCUCGUUUCAGCUUUGUUGGCCCCAGCAUGCGCCAUAACAAACUUGUCCGCCAUCUCUUCGAAUGUUUCUAUGGAAUAGGCUGGCAUCAGCGAAUACCAUGUCAAUGCCUCUCCUAUGAGGGUUUCACCAAAACCUUUCAACAAGAUAGAGGACACCUUCUCCUUAGUAAGGUUGUUUCCCUUCACGAAGGUGACAUAGUGGGUUACACGGUCCUCGGGAUCAGUCAUUCCAUCAUAGAUUCGGAGGUAUGGAGGCAUCUUGAAAGUUUUCGGUAUGGCAUGAGAAGCUGCUUUUUCCCUGUAUGGAUGUUCCACAAACCUCUCGGCAUCUCUUUUUUGUAACAAUUUGGGGGCACCCGGUAUCUUGUCUACCCAUUCCUGGUACUCCUUCAUAUGUUCCUUGAGCGCCUUGUUCUCGUUUUUCAUUUCCUCCAUUCUUUUCAGUACGACGCCGAGGUUGCUAUCACUUGCACUGCCAACAAAUGUAUGGGUAUUACCUGAAGUAGGAGGGUUCGGUUGGUCGUCUUGUUUAUUCAUGCGCAGUGUUGCAUGGAUCGUUAGGGUUUCCGCAGUCGCGCACGAGGCCUGCUUUCUCAUUACGCUGACCAAAGUGUCGGUUAGCCAACCUUCGAGGAGCUUUCUCAUAGCGAGUGGUGCUUCCUCUCCUACGGACGUGGAAGCCUCUUUCUAGUUUGGUUUGGUUGUGCUACAGAAGGGUGUCGGCGACUUCCCUAUCCUGGGGGAUGUCGUGGGGAUUACUUACUCAUCUUGAGUUUCGUACAUUUCGUCGAUGACACUCAUAAGGUUGAGCGGGACGUUGUCCGCUGCUCUUGUUUCCUUUCUUUGGUUACUUCUCAGGGAAUCCUUGUAUGCAAAGAGAAAAAGGAUAACUCUACAGUUUGUUAGGUUAACAAGUCACGAAAGAUGUAGAUCUGAAUGAAAACUAAUAUUUUGACUAUGAAUCCCCACAGACGACGCCAAACUGUAUAAUCCAAAAUUUAGAUCUAGAUUUUUAUACAAUUAGUUUUAUAGAGAAAAUGAUUAAUCAAAACCAAUAUCAAUAUUCAAAUAGCAUAUCUAGUAUUUUUAUGAAGAAUAUUAGGCGUGUAUUGUUAGAUAAGAAUAUCUUAGAACAAUAAUGGAGCAAUAAUAACUCAAGAACGUGAAAGAUGACAAGAAAUGACAAUAAAUGGCAUUUAAAUAAUAAGUGAAACAUGGUUCACCCGACAAGGGUGAGAUUUUUCACUGAGCUUUCUGAUAAUGAUAGAUGUUGAUAAGCAAUUGAAUAUUCCAAUUCUUCUUGGAUCAGGAGAGAAGGAUAGAGGAGAAUAAGUAUAUAGGUGAAAUUUGUAGUAUUCAAUAAAGAGAGAAUCUUCAUAGAGAAUGUCAAUGAUGUUCUUUACAAAAUGUUCGAUCCCCCUUUCUAGAACUACAUCUCUUCUUAUUUAUAAGGGUACAUGGGCCACAGAAUCCUAAAUAGUACAACAAGGGAGAAUAUUCUAGUUUCUUAGGAAAUCUAAAUCCUUAAACUAGUCGUUAUUGCGUACCGAAGACGGAGGCUCGUUCUCGUCUUUUGUCGAACCACUUCGUCCUUGACGACGAUUUACCUUCUUUACAUGAUUUCGACCUUUUGGAAUCAGGUCGACCUGUUAUAACAUCGACACAUCAAAGCCUUCGAAGUGACAUGAAAUUUUUCGCCCAUGUACGAUACACGCACGAUGCGCGUACGUUAAUACAGACAGAAAAGGAUGAAUAGCUACUUACAUUAAUAAUACCGAAAGUAGAAUUAGGAAUCAAAUUAGUUACUUGUUCAAGACAUGCUGUUAGGGAAAAGAAGGAGAAGAUGAACUUUAUUACAGGGUAACAACAAUCUGCAUACCAACUGUACUACUGAAUAUACAUAUAUACACACGUACAUCUGUAUAUAAUAUUGAGCACUUGUUUCUCUAAAUUAUAAAAGGAAAGAGUACAUAUGUUUCUAUCUUCUUUUUUUCUCAUUAUAUAUAUGAUAUGGGGAAAUCGAUCGAUGAAGGGGAAGGAAGAUGGUAAUGUAAUUGAACAGACACAGCGUUCUAGAAGACCCUCAUUAAUAUCACUAGACUAUAAUCCGCGGUGAUAUUAUACAUUUCUAUUUUGAAUCAUUACAAGAACAAUAUGGACAGUUGUGAGUUUCAAAAAGAAAUAUAAAUUGAGAUCAACGUUCAGUUAUUUGUUGGCAAACAACUCAUAUUAGGUUCUUAAUUAAUAAAAAUAGCAAGUAGGAGAUGUAUGUCUUACAUUUUUUGUUCCCAAAACACUGGGCUUUCACACUGUGAAGUGUGAACCUACCCAUGAUUAUAGGCAGUAUAGCACCUAGGGGGUGAAUAAAUGAAGCUGACAAACCGCACCAAUUCGAUAAUUCGAGUCAACCCGAGAAAACAAAUCCGAUAAUUCAAGUACUCAAGCCGAGAAAAAAAAUCCGAUUAUGGUUUGGUUUGAUUGGUUUGGUGUUGGAAAAAAAAAUCCGAUGAUAUUUGGUUUGGCUUGAUUGGUUUUAACUAAAAAAAGUCAAAACGAAACCAAACCAACCCGAUAUUAUAUGUAUAGAAGUUUUAAAUAUAUUUAAUACAUGAAAAUAUUUAUUGUAGUGUAGUUUAUAAAUAUUUCUUAAGUUUUUUCAUAAUUUAAUCUUUUAAUGUAUUAUUUUAAGCUUGGACUUAUAAUUUUUGGAUACUCCAAUAAAUUUUAUAGUCUAUAAAUGUUAGUAACUCAAAUAAAUCUUAAAUCAAAAUCAAAUCAAUAAUGAUAAUAAAAGACAUUCAAUUCAAUUGUACUAACUACUAUGAAUGAAAAUAGUCUAUUUUAGUUUUUCAUGGUUUAGAUAAAAUACAUAACUUAUUUUUCUUUUAGUGUUUAGUCAUGUAAAUAAUAGUACUUAUUAGUCAUACUUGUUUUAGCAACUUAUUAGUAAUUUUAAAUUAUGUUUGUUUUCAUUAUGGCUUAUUAAUAAUAUUUAUUUUAUGUGAUUUUCUUAUCUUUAUUGUUGAAUAUUUUAGUAUAAUGUCAUGAAUCAUCUUAUAUUUAUGUUAUUUUAUUGAAAAAAUUGAAAUAACUCGAAAAAUCAGAGAAAAACUGAGAUUUAAAAACCCGACUUUUAUUGGUUUGGUUUGGUCUUUAAAUUUAAUAAUCCGAUAUAAUUGAUUUGGUUUGACAAUUAUAAAAUCUGAACCAACCCGUCUCAUGUACGCUCCUAAUUAUUAGCACCUACCCCAGAUGAGCACUGCCCGUAAUAUUACUGCUAUCAUAGUUCAGUAGUCAAGUCUGUGCCAGAUAACAUUACUAAAAGACUGCUAGCUGAUCACUAAUGAUUUGGUGUCUUUUUCAGUUGUCCAUAUCAUUAUCGUAUAUAUAGAUAAACAUUCCAAGGCGUUAUACAAAAUUUUAACGUAUUCCUUGGGCGUGGAAAGCAACUUAAGUAAAUAUAUGCUAAGAAAAUUGGUAUUGCGUCUAAUUCAACUUCAAAAUCUAAUUUAUAAGGUGAGUAUUGUCUAUAAUCAUUAAGGAGAUAACAACUCAUUCAAUCAAUCAAUAUGUGCUAUUUUAACAUUACUGCACAAUUCUUGUAUCCAGAAGUAAUCUAGGUUUGCCAAUUAAUUGUUUGAGCAUAGAUAAAAUAGUCCCUUAGGGGGCAUCCCGUAAAAAAAGUAUAUAUAUAAAAUAUACAAUUGGAAAAUUUUAUAUUUAUAAUAAGUUUGAAUCUUUACACCUAAGAAGUUAGCAGAUAGAUUGGUAUUUUGCACGUAGUGACUUCAAAUUUGAAUUCACCUGUGAUCUUCAUUAGCAAAAAAUGAUACCAACACCAUGUGAGUCGGGCUAACAUGAAUUCAUGCAAUCAAAAAAGGGAAAAAAAGGACAAGAAAACUUACUCAACGUGGAUGCCAACUAGCUAUUGGCAGACAAAAGGUCACACACGUGCUAUUAGCUCCAAUUUAAGAAAUCAAAAUUGAUUUAAUAAGUAGCACAAACUAGUGAAUAUAGUGGAGUUUAUAUAGAGUGGACCAGAUGGAUAUGACAUGUAAGAAGAAGCCUCCAAACCCAAUUUUGUUUUGUUCAUCCAAUAAUCCUAAAAUAACAAAAGACUAAUGUCUAUUACUGUGUGUCCUACUAACAAAGACUCCAACUAUACUGCGAUUUACCAAACCAUCUGUAAGGCUGGUCAAAGCUUGUAAAACUUAGUAUUUCCUGAAAUUGCUUCAAAUCAAUGUUCAAGAUCAUUUGCAAAGUCUAAGAAAACCAGGUUUAAAUUAGACACGGUUGCUAAAUAAUGUUUUUAUAUCGUUAUAGAUUGGCCAAUAGGGAGUUUUGUUGUUUGUAUAGUUUCACAAGUCCUUAUUCACUUUAGUUAAAAUAAAUAUGACAAGCACGUCAAAGGGGUGGCGUGGAAAGCACAAUAUAUUGCUGAUAAGCAUUUUGAAAUCCUACUAAUAAGAUGAUAAGUCGCCUUUGUCUGUUGAAUUAUUCUUUGUCUACACCAAAAGCAAAGUAUAUCCUGCACGUUCUUCAUUUGCACUUGCACCUAUUAAUUCCAAGCGGGACAUGAGAUGUGUGUAAUCCACUUUUUCAUUAUUGUUCAAUUUCUAUGUUUAUCUACCUUAUGUCAAUUCCAGAGUCCGAAAUUGACAACUUAAAAUUUGCAGCCAGCCAAAUUGCAAACCUUAACUUCCUUUUUUAAUUUUAUUUUAUUAAUACGACUCCCUUGGUCUCAUAUUGUUUUUUUUUGGUCAUUAUUGGUCUUAGAGUUAGGAAACUCUUAACAUUUACACUUGCGAUUUUCAAGUCGGAUAUGACAUGUUUGUUCCUCACUUAACAAUAUUAUAGAUCACAUUUUUAUAGUUAGAAGUAGUUAAAGAAACUAAAAAUAUUAAUUUCAGAUUAAAUAGAUAAAGUUCCGAAGAAGAAUUGAUGUGCGAGCAAUCGCUAACAAUGUCAUCCUAGUCUGUUAAAUCAUUGGGAAUAUUUGAUUUCUUUCAUCAUUUGUUAGACGAUGGAUAUAUGUCACAAGAAAGGCAUCGUGAUUCAGAUAUAGAAGUUCAAAAAUGGAGUAAUUUUCGCUCAAAUAUGUUAAAAUUCUUAUUAAAUAUAUACAUACUAAAUUUAUAAUCCAAUUAUUAAUUUAAAAUUUAUAAAGUUGCAACCAUAAGUGGAAAAUUUUAUACCAAGUGUUUUUUGCACAAAUUAAAAGUAAAAUUAACACAUAAAGAAUCGCCUUUCAGAAAACCAAGAAGAAGUGCUUUUAUUGCAAACCAAACACGCCAUACUAGAUAUUUCAUCAAAACACCAUAACCAGUACAAGGGUCUCCCAUUUAUCAUGGUCCCUCAACUCCACUAGCAAAUUACAAUUGCAGAUUAAAAAAAAACAAGGCAAAUCAAACGGUGACGGAAACCCCCAAACUAGGUGUUAAACUUACAUCCUCGCGGACACAAGAUAUAACGCCUUGAACUUCAGCCCAUAAGCAAAUCAA
rnacentral:lncRNA from 1 species